rnacentral:antisense_RNA from 1 species
AUGCAAGUGUUUAACAGAUGCUUCACUAUUAAAAUAUUUUCCCCCCAAGUCUCAAAUAUUGAAGAAUCUCUAACCAGGGACACCAGUCCCAACGAAGACCUUGGGCGAUUUCAAAGUGCGGGCACCUCGAUUCCCCGAAUCUGUAGUGUGGCUGGUAUCGGUGUUUCCCUGGUUUAACUAGCCUGCUUGAAGGCGCAGAUCAUUCAUGGGGAAGUAAAACCGAAACCAGUCCUCUCCACCCCCUGCGGGUCUUCACUUUCCCAGUCUACAUCUGCCUGUGACUCCAGAAAGACAAACUGCAGAUUGGCCAAGAUGGGGAAAUUGAGGCACAGAAGCCAAGACAUGCGCUAAAGGUCAUGCGGGCUAUGAAUGGAGCUGGAAUGUGAAUGCAGGCCAUGUGACUCCAGAGCCCAUGUUCUUGAACCCUUAGAAAGACAGCAGCAACACACCUGGUGCAGCAGCUGCUUAGUUGGAGUGGCUGACAAGGAGAGAAUGAUUUCCAGGAAGAGCGGGACACAUA